rnacentral:lncRNA from 1 species
CGGCUUCAGAGGCCGUUCAGAGAGCUUUACCUGAGAGUGUGUGUGUUUGUAUGUGCACUCAUGAGUAUGCAUGGGCAUAUGUAUGUAUGUGUGUGUGUGUGUGUUUUCAUGCAUGUUUAUGCACAUGAGUGUGCAUGGAUGUUUAUGUAUGUGUGUAUGUGUGUGUAUUUGUAUGCAAGUGCAUGCACAUGAGUGUGCAUGAGUGUGUGUGUAUGUAUGUAUGUGUGUGUGUAUGUAUGUGAGUGUAUGCGUGUUUGUGUAUAUGUACGUGAGCAUGCAUGAAUAUAUGUGUGUGUAUAUAUGUGUGUAUGUAUGUGUGUGUUUGUAUACAUGCGCAUGCACAUGAGCAUGCAUGCAUGUGUGUGUGUGUGUGUGUUUGAGGAACUAGCACCUGCCUUCCAUUUACCCCAGGAACAAGGGCUAUUGCCAGGAAUAGAGCAAAGACGAAGGCACCCAAUGUAGGGCACCCCUGGAGCCUACAAACGUGCUGUGUACCAGAAAGAAUCAGCCUCCCACCAGCAGUCAUGGUGACAGUCAGGACCUGCCUGGGAAGUCAUCCAGGACCCAAGAAGCAGCAUUGGACUUAGCACAGAACAAAAAAUAAUAAUUGCUUUUUGCUUGUACUGUAUUGGGUCCAACUCAGUUAAUAAAGCAGAGACUCAGUAAUAAGGACACAGAGCCUAUAACCUCCCUCGAAGGGCUGGGGACCCCUGAUGCUGUUGUUUGGAGACAGUCUCACUAGGUAGCCCGAGCUAGUCUUGAACUCAUGAACUUUCUGCUCUGGCUUCCAAUGAACUGGAAUGAUGUGGCUGUACCACCGUGCCUGGUUAACACACAGCAACCUAGCAUUCCUGCACACAAUUUAACCCAGUUCUCUCCAUGUCUCUUUCUCCUGUACUUUGCAACAGUACAGCCUACAAUGGUCUCAAACUCAGGGUUUUCCUGCCUCAGCCUCUCAAAUAUUGGGAAUAUAGGCUCCCAUAGAGUUGGGAAAGGCUGGAGCAAAUGGGGUAUGGAAGGGAUGAGGGGGAGAAAUGGAAAGAAACUAAGGCCUGAUGGAAGACUGAGAAGCUAGAAGUCCUCUACAUAGGGUUGCCAGACUCAACAAAGACGAAUUCCACAGAGCCAGCUGGCCUGUUUUAAUCAGCUACCUUUCCGCAAAACUCUGUAGGGAGAAAGCGGGGUACAGUAUUGUACUGGUUAGUUUUGUGUCAACUUGACACAGCUGGAGUUAUCACAGAGAAAGGGGCUUCAGUUGGGGAGAUGCCUCCAUGAGAUCCAGCUGCAAGGCAUCUUCUCACUUAGUGAUCAAGGGGGAGGGCCCCUUGUGGGUGGUGCCAUCUCUGGGCUGGUAGUCUUGGUUCUAUAAGAGAGCAGGCUGAGCAAGCCAGGGCAAGCAAGCCAAUAAAGAAUAUCCCUUCAUGGCUUCUGCUUCGGCUCCUGCUUUCUGACCUGCUUGAGUUCCAGUCCUGACUUCCUUGGUGAUGAACAGCAGUAUGGAAGUGUAAGCCGAAUAAACCCUUUCCUCCCCAACUUGCUUCUUGGUCAUGAUGUUUGUGCAGGAAUAGAAACCCUGGUAGACAAGUAUCUACCUGUAACAUUUGCUGUUCUAUGUAGUCGAGCCAUCAAAAAUGAAGAGAAGGAAGAUGUGAGAAUAAAGUUGUACCCAUUAGCUCUAGAGUGACUAGCUUGGACAGUGCUAAAAUGGACCAACUAUAGCCACCAGGCAACUCAGCUACGUCAAAAAAUACGGCGUGCUUUGAUGGUGAGAAGUCACCGGAGAUGACAAAUUUAUAUUUCUAACUUUAAAGAAAUAUGGGCCUACACUAGUAUGGUUGAGCAAUUAAGACCCUGGACUUUCUGGGGUUUUUUUGUUUUUUAAUGUGACAUAUAUAAUAGUGUGACACAUAUUAAAAUGUAGGAGCAUUCAGUCUUUAACUUUUGAACCAAAUAAUCAGGGUGGAUUUAUUCUUCGUGCGACACAUAAUUUUAACCUUUUAUUAUGCAAAGCUGACAAUUCAAUUUAAAUAGGGAGAGUCUGCUUGGCACAAUUAAUUUUAAUGAUAUUUACUGUUUGCUGGACCUCCCGAAAUGCAGAGCAUCUUACAAAAUUUGCUCAAGUUAUUUUCUUUUUUUUCUUUCUUUUUUUUUCUUUCCUUUUUUUUCUUUCUUUUUU